rnacentral:rRNA from 1 species
AGAGCGAACGCUGGCGGCAGGCCUAACACAUGCAAGUCGAGCGCCCCGCAAGGGGAGCGGCAGACGGGAGAGUAACACGUGGGAACGUACCCUUUGGUUCGGAACAACACAGGGAAACUUGUGCUAAUACCGGAUAAGCCCUUACGGGGAAAGAUUUAUUGCCAAAGGAUCGGCCCGCGUCUGAUUAGCUUGUUGGUGAGGUAACGGCUCACCAAGGCUACGAUCAGUAGCUGGUCUGAGAGGAUGAUCAGCCUCACUGGGACUGAGACACGGCCCAGACUCCUACGGGAGGCAGCAGUGGGGAAUAUUGGACAAUGGGCGCAAGCCUGAUCCAGCCAUGCCGCGUGGAUGAUGGAGGCCCUAGGGUUGUAAAGUCCUUUCGACGGGGAAGAUAAUGACGGUACCCGUAGAAGAAGCCCCGGCUAACUUCGUGCCAGCAGCCGC